rnacentral:rRNA from 1 species
UACGAAGGGGGGCUAGCGUUGCUCGGAAUCACUGGGCGUAAAGCGCACGUAGGCGGAUCUUUUAAGUCAGGGGUGAAAUCCCAAGGCUCAACCUUGGAACUGCCUUUGAUACUGGGGAUCUCGAGUCCGGAAGAGGUUGGUGGAACUGCGAGUGUAGAGGUGAAAUUCGUAGAUAUUCGCAAGAACACCAGUGGCGAAGGCGGCCAACUGGUCCGGUACUGACGCUGAGGUGCGAAAGCGUGGGGAGCAAACAGG